rnacentral:rRNA from 1 species
UUCGAGUGGCGACGGGUGAGUAACGCGUGGGUAACCUGCCUUACACAGGGGGAUAACACCUGGAAACAGGUGCUAAUACCGCAUAAGCGCACAGGGCCGCAUGGCCCGGUGUGAAAAACUCCGGUGGUGUAAGAUGGACCCGCGUCUGAUUAGCUUGUUGGCGGGGUAGGGGCCCACCAAGGCGACGAUCAGUAGCCAGCCUGAGAGGGUGGACGGCCACAUUGGGACUGAGACACGGCCCAAACUCCUACGGAAGGCAGCAG